GUUUCAAAUCUUUAUCAUACAAGAAGAUAAAUGUAUUUUUGGUUAUUUUGCUCCAAAACAAACAUUUUAAAACAAAGUAUUAUAUUUUAUUAGUGCAUCAUAUGCAAAAUACUUAUGAAACUAAAAUGUGGUUUGGCUAUCCAAAGGUCCAGAUUAUAAAGCUAGUAAACUACUUAUCACCUACUAGGAUCAUUUGGUGUUAGAGAUUUUUUAAAUUAAACAUUCAAAUAUAAUUUUUAUAUUAAUAUAUGCACAAUUUUAAGUUCAUAUUCAGAGAUGCAAUGGAGGGAGUAUGCCAAAAACUGAGUAGUCCCACUGGUUUUUCAAUCUCAUUUUUGAAUUUUUUUAUUAAAUCUAAUUUUAUUUUAUUUAUUAUGAUAUUUGUUUAUACUGAAUAAUCAACUUCAAAUGUUUCACCCUAAUAUUCAAACUUAAUUGUUUUAACAUUAUAAAUGUUAUCAAAACUGUAGAUAACGGCAUAGGUUAUACAACACUAUUGAGCAGACACAAGAAUGAGGAGAGAAAAAUUUACUGAAAAUAUUAUAGGCAUUGUGAAUGAAUACAUAAAUAAGAUGUUUGAGUUUUCUUGAGACCUUGGUGAAUGAAGGUAAAAAAUGAUAGCCUUUGAGUGUUUUCAUCAUGGAAGAAUGUUACAAGAGUGUUUUUCUACAAACAGUCACAUAAUAAUUUAUUCAUGCUGUAGCAUAAAAGUCAUAUUACUGAACAACAGCCCAUGGUAAGAACUAAUGCUCAAGCUGAUGAAAUAACUUUGAAUUUCAAAGCCCCUCACAAAAGCAGAAUUUACGUCAUAUGUGAGUGAAUCUUUGUCCCUGGAUCAUGCUGAAAAGGCAUUCACACUGGAUGUGAAAAAAAAUCAUGUAUGUGAAUUCAAAGAUGCAAACAGAAACCUGAUUGUCAAGAUCUCCCUGGGUUAAUAUAUUUCCCAAUAAGGUUCUUGCUCACAUCUCUACAUAUUCGAAUUUUUCGCAUCCGCUGUGAAUAGUCCUUUACACCUUUAUGGCGGAAUCUCGGAAAAUAAGUUCAGCAGAUUAUCCCCAUUGACAAUUUUCAUGUUUUUAACAGUUCCUUUUAAAACAAAUUUUCAUUUGAAGUUGUAUGCAUAAUGCUUGUGUUCUUGAAAUGAAAACUGAAUGAAGUUAAAUCAAACAGUUUUCUUUUAAUAUUGCAAAGUUACCUCAAUUAGAGGAGAUGUGAAGGAGGAAUUUCAAAAUUGACCAAAGUGAAUUGGAAACUAACAACAGUAUUAUGCAGACAAAAGUGGAAGUUAAUAAUGUAAGGAAAGAUAAUAAUAAAGGUAUGCAUUAUAUUCGCAAGAGCUAACCAUGGAGAUGUUUUCUGAUCAAAUCUCUUCUGCAGCAAGUCCUGUAAAAAAAUAAAAAGACUGUGCAGCUGAAAGCAACAUUAUAAUCAUAAACAAUUGAAGCUGAAUUUCUAAUUUAUAAUGUGUGUAAAAAAAUUCAUUUAGGGCAGUAUUAUUGUUGCAAGUUUUCUAUCAUUUAAUUGAAAAUAAAUUUUAUACAUAAGAUUUUAUUUGCUCAGUUACUGUCUAAUUGUGAUAGAUUAAAAAUGUUUACAGUAGGACUUUUUUGUUUAAUUUUAAUAUAAUAUUACUUGAUGAUUUUAUUCAAAUAAUGCAUGUUGUACUACAAAUUAAACCUUUCACAAAUCAAAUUUGUUGUCUUUAGGAGAAGUAACAUACAAUUUUUGAGAUGUUGAUUUUUCUUUAAAUCUUUUUAAUAAGGGAAAAUUUUAGAUGAUCUUUGUAUAAUAUUUUUCUGUAAACUUUCUCUCUUUUUGUAUUUAGUAAGUUAGUGCAAUUAUGUUCAACAGUUCUGAAUGAUAAAACAAUAUAAGGUGCCAAAUUGAUUAGUGCUGAUUUAACAUACACAAAAGCAUACCUUUUCUUAAGUGAAUAGGUAUUUUUUUGUGACAUCUGCUUUUUCUAUUAUGUGUAAAUAAAAAACAUUUUAAGAA